rnacentral:rRNA from 1 species
GUGACCACAAAGUUUAACGGCCGCGGUAUCCUGACCGUGCGAAGGUAGCGUAAUCAUUUGUCUUUUAAAUAGAGACCUGUAUGAAUGGCAUAACGAGGGUUUAACUGUCUCCUUCCCCUAGUCAAUGAAAUUGAUCUGCCCGUGCAGAAGCGGACAUAAAUACAUAAGACGAGAAGACCCUAUGGAGCUUUAGACAAAAGAUCAAACAUGUAAAGAAACCAAGCUAACCAAAAGGAACACAAAGGCCACGAAACCCGACGUAAACUGAUCCAAAUGUCUUCGGUUGGGGCGACCAUGGGGGAGAAAAAAGCCCCCACGAGGAACAGGGACUAAUCCCUAAGCCAAGAGAGACAUCUCUAAGCAACAGAAAAUCUGACCAAAAGUGACCCAGAAUACUAAUUCUGAUCAACGAACCAAGUUACCCUAGGGAUAACAGCGCAAUCCUUUCCCAGAGUCCAUAUCGACGAAAGGGUUUACGACCUCGAUGUUGGAUCAGGACAUCCUAAUGGUGCAGCCGCU